rnacentral:lncRNA from 1 species
GACAAAUAUCCAAGGGUCUGAGAGAAUAUUUGCCCCCCAAGAGACUGGCCAGAAAGGAUAUAUAAAUGACAUCAGGAGGAAUUGCAGAAGGUUCAGCUGCACCUCAAGCAGCUGCCAGAACAGAACAGUGAACUCAAAUCCCUUGGAGCCAUGGCCUUGGAGCAGCACGAACGCUGGUGGCUCUGUCCAGAACAUGCGACCCUCUGUAACCAAAGCCAGCAGGUUCAGCAGAAUCUCUGUCUUCACCCAAGGUGACUGCAUUGGCAGCAGUAAAUGUGCCAAUGCAGGAAGGAUCUCCAGGCCAGGUAUGGCACUAUAUGCCCCAGAAAUGUGCAACCAGGUCACCUCAUCCCAGUCUAUCCCGAACCUUCUCCCUUGUUCAGCAGCAGCAGCAGCAGCAGCAGCAGCAGCAGCAGGAGCAGCAGCAGCAGCAACUUUGUGCUCUCCCACCCACGCCUCAGCAACAGCCACCCUUGAAUAAUCACAUGAUCUCACAGACAGAUGACCUCAGCAAGUCCUUUAGACAAAUGAGCCCUAGCUGCCAAGGUUCUACUAAAGCAACUGACUGAUCGGCAGCUCUGUUCCAGCCCCCACUCAUCUCCCAGCACCGUCAGUGGACUAACUUCGUCAUGGCUUCCAUGGGUCAGUCCCUCCCCACCUCUAACUGUUCCACCUCUAGCCAUGCACCACCUACUCAGCAAGUGCUGCUACCCCGGGGCUACAUGCAGCCUUCUCAACCAACAGUUCCAGGUUUCUUUCUAAUCCCCCUGGACAAUAUCCUAAUUCCAACCAGCAAUAUUGACCUUUCUCUCACCUGGUGGCCUACAGAUCCUGAUGUGGUCAAUAGCUGGCUCGGCCAUCCCAGCAGCCCAGUUUAUAGCCCAUGAUGCCUAACCAGCAGCAGGUGGCUUACCAAGGAAUGACUGGGGUCCAGCAGCCACAGAACCAGGGCCUGCUCAGCAGUCAGAGAAGCAGCAUGGAGGCCCAGAUGCAAGGCCUGGUGGUUCAGUACACUUCACUGCCUUCUUACCAAGUCUCAGUGGGUAAUUACUCACAAAAUGUGGUCCAGCACCCUUUCUAGCAACUCAUGCUGGCCCCUGUGAGCCAGUUUGGGUAAGGAGGCCCCCCAACAGGGGGCAUACCAGUGUACUACAGCAUGAUCCCACUGGCUCAGCAGAACGGUACAAGCCCUACUGUUGGGGUUUUGCAACCUCCUGGGUCUCAGCAGUACCAGAUGAUUCAGUUUCCCUCUCCCUGCCGUCUACCACAGAUGCUGCAGUAGCAGUCAAGAGUGUCACCUUCUGGACCAGGUGUGGUGGUCAUGAGCUGAAUUUCGCUAAUGGAGCCUGACCCCACUCAGAACCCAUCAAGGGUCCAGUGGAGUCACUGUAAAUACUACAACAUGGACCAUGAGGGGCAGAAGCCUGGAGACCUGUACAGUCCUGACAUCAGCCCCCAGGCCAACAUACAAAUGAGCAGCAGCCCUGACACAUCUCCUACCCAGGCUUUGCCACCUUCUCUUGUCACCAGCCUCAGUGGUGGCUGUCUGCACAGGACUCAGUCCCUUGCUUGUCCUCAGAUGGUUCCCCUGGCCUGGGGGUCCAGCACAGGGUGAUGGGUGCUACUCCCUCUUAGGCCAGCCUUUAGAGUAUAAUCUGUCCAUCUGCCCUCCCUUGCUGCAUGACCAGUCAACUUACACAGUACACCAGGGACAGAGUGGACUGAAGCAUGAAAACCAGGGCAAGAGACAAGCACUCAAAUCUGCCUUCUCUGACAUGGGGACAGCAGAUGUUGUUUUGGGGCAGGGGCCGGAGGUAACAGAUCUCCCUAAGGGCAUCACCUGUACCGAGGCAGACAAACUCUUUAAGCAGCUUGCCAUGUCCAGUGCCAAGACCCAGCUCAGGGGCUGCCUGGUGGGGGUGGAGGGGACAAUGGUGGGACUGCUGAGAAUGGCAACUGCUUGGACCUUGCUGCCUUUUACACCAUCAUGGCUGUGUUCCCUAACCUGCUGGCUGCUCAAAAUGCCUCCCUUCAUCUCAACAACUCCCUGAAUAGCUUCACACUUUGAAUGGCCAAAAAGAACUAUGACCUGAGGAUCCCGGAGUGAGCCAGCACC